AAAACUCUGAGAAGGGCAGAGAAAGAAGCCAUUUGAGGACCUUCCCAGGACGCAAGAGAUAAAGGCACGACAUCGGUGGGUCAUUGGAUCCCUAAAGAAAACACAAAACAAUUUGC
rnacentral:lncRNA from 8 species